UUGGAGGGCAAGUCUGGUGCCAGCAGCCGCGGUAAUUCCAGCUCCAAUAGCGUAUAUUAAAGUUGUUGCAGUUAAAAAGCUCGUAGUUGAACUUCGGGGUCUACCCAUUGGUCAGGCUUAAUUGUCUGCACUGGUGAGAUGGAUCUCUACCUUCUGAGGAACUUUCAUGCCAUUUAUUUGGUGUGAUGGGAAAUCAGGACUGUUACUUUGAAAAAAUUAGAGUGUUUAAAGCAGACUAUCGUCUGAAUACAUUAGCAUGGAAUAAUGAAAUAGGACGGACUGAUUCUAUUUCGUUGGUUUCUAGGAUCACCGUAAUGAUUGAUAGGGAUAGUUGGGGGCAUUAGUAUUCAAUUGUCAGAGGUGAAAUUCUUGGAUUUAUUGAAGACUAACUACUGCGAAAGCAUUUGCCAAGGAUGUUUUCAUUAAUCAAGAACGAAAGUUAGGGGAUCGAAGACGAUCAGAUACCGUCGUAGUCUUAACCAUAAACUAUGCCGACUAGGGAUCGGACGAAGUUAAUUUUAUAAUGACGCGUUCGGCGCCUUACGGGAAAC
rnacentral:rRNA from 1 species